UUCAUCACACCUUCUAUUUCUUAAUAUAAUAUAUCCUAUUUAUAAAGAUGAACCCAUUUUGUAACCAACCAUCACAACUCAUCCGUAACCUCCUCCUCUUUCUACCUCAUACACAUAUUUUUCUUUUCAUACACAUACAAACAUGUCACCCACACAUCUUUCAACCAUUCUUUACUUCCUCUUCUUCUACAUACAAAGAAAAACACACCACAGAGAAGAGAAAACUGUUCUUUCCAAUAUGAUUAUAAAGUUAGUAUUUGCUUUCUUUGAAUUUGAUUAAUGAUUCUGUAAAUUUUUGGGUGCACGUUAGUAAUUAUUUGCUAUGUGUUAGGAUACAAAGUGACAAUUUUAUAGAUUGUGAGGUCCAUGUUUAUAUAAAUCAUUUAUAUGUGUAGGAUAUAUGUUUUGUUCAAAAUUAUUAUUUUUUUCUCCUCUUACAUAGUCAAUGGACUUCUGAAUCAUGCCUAAGCAUAUUUAGAUAUUGGUUGAAAACAUGACUAUCAUAAGUGCUCAAUUCUUUUAAAAUAAAGUUAUAUGUAUUCACAGUGAUGUACGUGCCUAAUGCAUGUACUCUAAAUCACUGCUACAAAAAAAAAAGUCAUUUCCUUUUUACUGUUAUUAUAAUAGUAUGGUUCCACAUGUGGCUUAUAAUAAAGACUAGUCAUUUCAUCUCUGUAAGUUGUAUCCUUGGUAUUAUUUACUAUUUUCUUCAACUGAAUAUUAAAAUUGUGCAAUAUAACUUUAGAGUGCAGUAACAGAUUCAUGCGUGCUCCAACUUCUGUUUUUCUUUUACUUCGUGAACAUUAUAAUAAUAUGCUAUACAGAUUUAUGUAAUUAAUGUAUUUUAUACAUAUAUCUCUAUAUAUAAACACUAGGCAUAAUCCUACAUUUAUAGUUAACUAUACAAUGUGGCAACUAUCAUUAUACUCAAUCUUUUACUAUUUGUUAUCCAUUCUUUAAAAAAAAGGAGUAGGCCAAUGUCUAUGAAGUUGUCUAUUAAUUACUAUGUAAGUAUAUUUUUUUAAAGAGACAAGUGUGAUUGUUUGAGUUAUUGAUUAGUGUUAGACUAUUUGUGAGAUUGAAAGAGAUUAGAAUUUAAUUUGUUGUCUCAUUUGUUGUGGGUAUGUGUAUGAGAAAAGAUACUGGAUUUGAAGGAGAUGAUGGAAGAACAUGUUUAUUUGCCGGACAAAGAGUUUACAUAAACCCUGUUGAGGGAGAAGAAUAUUGUGGUCUUAGAGUUUUUCGUUGAAGUUCUUCUCUCCGAUUCCCUUAAAAGUCGGAGAGCUUUGUAGAUUAGGAACUCCCAUGGAAACUUGUUUUCCAUGUAAGAGUUCAUAAUCUUUUUCAUGACGAUGUACAGAGUCUUAGAUAUUUGAUUGUGCUGG
rnacentral:lncRNA from 1 species